AUUGAACGCUGGCGGCAGGCCUAACACAUGCAAGUCGAACGAGUGGCGGACGGGUGAGUAAUGUCUGGGAAACUGCCCGAUGGAGGGGGAUAACUAAUGGAAACGGUAGCUAAUACCGCAUACCAUCGGAUGUGCCCAGAUGGGAUUAGCUAGUAGGUGGGGUAACGGCUCACCUAGGCGACGAUCCCUAGCUGGUCUGAGAGGAUGACAAGCCACACUGGAACUGAGAGACGGUCCAGACUCCUACGGGAGGAAGCAGUGGGGAAGAGUGCAAAAUGGGCGCAAGCCUGAUGCAGCCAUGCCGCGUGGAUGAAGAAGGCCUGCGGGUUGUAAAGUACUUUAAGCGGGGAGGCGUUACCCGCAGAAGAAGCACCGGCUAACUCCGUGCCAGCAGCCGCGGUAAUUC
rnacentral:rRNA from 1 species